rnacentral:rRNA from 1 species
UCUCGUAGCUUGCUAUGAGAACAAUUAGUGGCAGACGGGUGAGUAAUGCAUAGGAAUCUACCUAGUAGUAUAGGAUAGCCACUAGAAAUGGUGGGUAAUACUGCAUAAUCCCUGCGGGGGAAAGAUUUAUCGCUACAUGAUGAGCCUAUGUUAGAUUAGCUAGUUGGUGGGGUAAUGGCCUACCAAGGCAGUGAUCUAUAGCUGGUCUGAGAGGAUGAUCAGCCACACUGGAACUGAGACACGGUCCAGACUCCUACGGGAGGCAGCAGUGGGGAAUAUUGGACAAUGGGCGCAAGCCUGAUCCAGCUAUGCCGCGUGAGUGAGGAAGGCCUUAGGGUUGUAAAACUCUUUCAGUGGGGAAGAUAAUGACGGUACCCACAGAAGAAGUCCCGGCAAACUCCGUGCCAGCAGCCGCGGUAAUACGGAGGGGGCAAGCGUUGUUCGGAAUUAUUGGGCGUAAAGGGCAUGUAGGUGGUUUGGUAAGUUAAAGGUGAAAUGCCAGGGCUUAACCCUGGAGCUGCUUUUAAUACUGCCAGACUGGAGUCCGGGAG